rnacentral:SRP_RNA from 1 species
GCUGGGUGUGGUGAUGUGCACCUGUAAUCCCAGCUACUCGGGAGGCUGAGGCAGGAGAAUCACUUGAACCCAGGAGGCGGAGUUUGCAGUGAGCCCAGGUUGCACUGCUGCACUCCGACCUGUGCAACAGAGUGAGACUCUGUCUCAA